GUUUUUAGAAAGAAACACCAAAAACCGAAAUCUGGCAAAUACAUACCUUUGGAGAUUGACAAAAAGGUAACACGUGAUGUGGUGCAAGAACAUCGGGCCGCACUCAGAAGGAUUUGCUUUCCCAAGGAGCUUUCCAAAAGCGAGCAUCUUCAGGAACCCCCACAACGAAUCUCCUUCAAGGAACCACACAUUUUUAGUAGAAGAGAAAGAUGCAGGCCCAUAGAUCUAAUUACAAAAGGACUCAGCCAGACUUGGACAGAGGACAGGAAGACCUAUCUGCAGAUAAGAGCCACCCACUACUGGUCUCAUCUCCCCUGAGGGCUGCAGAGACAUUGAUGUUGGGAUGACCUGCCUGUGGAGAGGAAUCUGCGGAGCUGAGAGGUGAGCAAAUGUCUGGCCGACCUGCCUGCAGAAAGAAGCUACCCACUUCGGGUCUCCUGAGAGCUGUACUGUUGCUCAAUAAAGCAC
rnacentral:lncRNA from 1 species